AACGCGAAGAACCUUACCAACUCUUGACAUCCCCCUGACCGGCACAGAGAUGUGCCUUCCCCUUCGGGGGCAGGGGUGACAGGUGGUGCAUGGUUGUCGUCAGCUCGUGUCGUGAGAUGUUGGGUUAAGUCCCGCAACGAGCGCAACCCUUGUCCUUAGUUGCCACCAUUCAGUUGGGCACUCUAAGGAGACUGCCGGUGACAAACCGGAGGAAGGUGGGGAUGACGUCAAAUCAUCAUGCCCCUUAUGAGUUGGGCUACACACGUGCUACAAUGGACGGUACAAAGGGCAGCGAAGCCGCGAGGUGGAGCCAAUCCCAGAAAGCCGUUCUCAGUUCGGAUUGCAGGCUGCAACUCGCCUGCAUGAAGUCGGAAUCGCUAGUAAUCGCAGGUCAGCAUACUGCGGUGAAUACGUUCCCGGGUCUUGUACACACCG
rnacentral:rRNA from 1 species